CCCUUAGAUGUUCUGGGCCGCACGCGCGCUACACUGACGAUGGCAACGAGUUUUUCCUUCGCCGAAAGGUGUGGGUAAUCUUUUGAAACAUCGUCGUGCUGGGGAUAGAUCAUUGCAAUUUUUGAUCUUGAACGAGGAAUUCCUAGUAAGCGCGAGUCAUCAGCUCGCGUUGAUUACGUCCCUGCCCUUUGUACACACCGCCCGUCGCUACUACCGAUUGAAUGGUUUAGUGAGGACUCCUGAUUGGCGCCGCCGCCCCGGCAACGGAGCAGCGGACUGCAGAAAAGUUGUUCAAACUUGAUCAUUUAGAGGAAGUAAAAGUCGUAACA
rnacentral:rRNA from 1 species